ensembl:snoRNA
UAGCCUGAAAUGAUGUUAUGAAUUCAUGUCUCUUCUCUGAGAUGUAUCAUGGAGACAAUUAGAUGCAUUUCUGAUCAGGCUU